ACAUGCAGGUGCAUCCUCUUGGGGGGAGACUGAAGACUGUUUUUUACCACAAAGAGGAAGGGACUGUGCAAGAGAAUUGGGUACCUCUGCAGCUAUUCCAUCCAAAUUAUAGAAAGAGAUAAAAAUGGAUAUUCACCACCAAUUCCAUUUUUCUGAGCUAUGAAGGAUUGAAUUGUUUACUUAUUAACCCUGUGAAGAAGAAAAACGUGUACUAGGAUCCUAGCCAACUUCCUGGGACUACUGACAUCACGUAUCUUAGAUCUACUACUGCUUUUUUUCUAGCAAAUAACAGACAGGUACAGAAAGCCACAGCUGGACAUAGAGCAAAGAUCAACAAAUGCCUUCAGAUGAAGAUCUACAACUCUCAGCUCUGCCUGCAUCAUGCCUGCCUAGGUGCUGCCCUGCUUCCACCUUGAUAACAGAUUGAAUCUCUGAACCUGGAGUAGACAGUUAGAAACAUCUGAAACUUCUUCUAUGGGACAAUCCAGAGGCUUCCUUUCAAUACUUCGACCAACACAAGUAAAAAUCCCAGCACAGAAAAGUGAUGCACUUAAUCCUUCAGAGACCAUUCAUAUGUUCGCAGCAGAUCCAAGCCCCAGAUCUAAUUCUUGGAAUGAAGGUAUCAAUUGCAAAUAACUUUGAGGAAAGGGUAAGUCCACAUAGACCUGGUCUUGUUCAUGUAAUUUCAGUUUCAAGUAUAGCCUUUGUCGUUGCCCUGUUAUGUGGGCUCAUGAUCUCCUAUGUGAUACAGU
rnacentral:lncRNA from 1 species